CCAAGUUUGGCCUUACGGUC
rnacentral:snRNA from 1 species